UAGUGUUUUAGUAUAUUUCUUGUAAGGGGUGAAAAUUCAAAAUUUUUUUUCUGAUCUAAAAAGCAAUUGGAUUACAGUUUUGUAGAUUAUUCUAAGAUUUGAUACAAUCUUAGAUCUGAUUAAUUGAUUAUGCGUAACUUGGAAUUGAUUUUGUUAUCUGUGUGCAAGAUGUUUGAUUGAUCUGGAUAGUGCCUUAUUUGAGUAUAGUUUCUUUGGAUUUGAAAAAA
rnacentral:misc_RNA from 1 species